GCUUCUUCCGGGGGUUCCUGCACGGCACAGGGUCUGCCAGGCCAGUUGCCUCCCUUGGAGCCAUGCCCAGCUCCUCCUCGGCUUGGAGGGCGCUAAACUUGUUCUUCAAGGGUAAGUCUUGAGGAGGAGCAAGAGCCUUUCUCCUUCUGCGAGAGGUCACCAGCUUCCAGCCCUCUUCAACAGCGUUAUGAUGCACCUUUACACACGGUGCUGAGCCCUCUGACAACUCUGCUGCAGUGGGGGCAGGGGACUCCUGGAGCUGAACAGUCUCUGAGAACGCCCUGUCAAUCUCCCGCUCAUCCUCUCGGAUGCUACGCAGCCUACUAACCUCCUCCCGUAACUCCUUUAUCUGGUGACGCAACUGGUCAACCACAGCACACCUCACACAGGAGAGCUGACUGUCAGCCCAGGCCCCACGGAGAGGCCCCAGGCACUCCCUGCAGCCCUGACACCUGCAAAGCUGCAUCUGCUGUCUGAGGGUCUGUCUGGGUUGAGGCCUCAGACACAGCCGAUGCAGCAGCUCCAGCAGCCACUGGGGAACGUGCUCUGCGGCGUGUCAUGACCAUGCCCCGGGGAAGGACACACCACUGUGCAAAAUGUGCAAAAUGGAGAGGUGCCUUCUUUGCCUUCUGGCGCCCUUCUGCGCGAACUGCUGCGCAAACUGCUGCGUCUGUUCGCUGCCUCUGUUGGCUGUGCUCUCCAAGAAAACAUGUUAAGAAAACAGAGUUGUCUGUAAGCAGCAGCAGUAUCUGAUGACAGCAAGUGGUAAACAAGAUUAUAGGAAGACUGAAAAAGCCUUCUCCUGGGUCCCUAAAGAACCUUUUAGGCUGCUUUAUUCUUCAUCUGAGAAAGAUUUGGCAAGUGCAUUAUACUGUUUUAUACGAAGAUGCAACAAGACAAAUCUAACAGAAGAAAUGGGAAAUCUAUUUUAGUUAAUAAUUUUAAAACAAGAAUGAAGAUAUGGGGUUUGAAGUUCCUCUGGUUUUUCUGCUGUUAAUAGUAGCAGACGGUGGAAAUGAAUUUGCCAUUAAUUUACUUUCAUGUCAAACACUUGAUAUGAUUAAGCAAAGUGUCAUAUAAAUGCCGAUUACUUACUUUAAAAUUAUGUGUAAAAUAGACUCUUAAUUGUAAUGCUAAUACCUGUGAAAUACUGUUUUCAGUUUCUAAGCUUUAUAGCCUUUUUAGUAUCAGACUUCAAAGCCUCCAGAUAGGAAUUAUGGGUAGAAAGGUUAGAACUUAAAGCUAGAUUUGUUUAAUAUUAUCCUUCAUGUGGGAGCACUUGUUUCAGUUGUUAAUGCACAGUUCUAAAUUUCACAUAAGCAAGGAAGCAUGACUAUCAGUGUUAUACUCAGGGUGCCAUUUGAUCCACUUGCACACAGAGCGCAGCCAACAGAGGCAGCAAACAGAUGCAGCAGUUUGCGCAGCAGUGUCUGGGCUCUGCCUGCGCCUUUUGUAGGCCUUGUUGGAAGUUGUGGAGACUUUCUGGGGACCCCCGAGGAACUAGACGGUGCUUGCUGCUAGCAGGAAGGGAGAGCUGGGCAAGGACUCCUGCAGGGGACCUUGACUUAACUUCUCCUGGGAAGUUCUAGCUAGGUGGGGCUGCUGCUAACGAGCAAUCUGGGCUGGCCUGGUCAGAGGGAGUUGGGGCUUUUGUUUCAGGUGGCUCCUGAUUGGGUGGGUCAAGCACCCUUGUGAGUCA
ensembl:lncRNA